rnacentral:rRNA from 1 species
UUGCAUAUCAAAAAGCGGAGGAAAAGAAACUAACAAGGAUUCCCCUAGUAACGGCGAGUGAAGCGGGAAGAGCUCAAAUUUGAAAUCUGGCAGUCUUCGAUUGUCCGAGUUGUAAUCUAUAGAGGCGUUUUCCGUGCCGGACCGUGUCCAAGUCUCCUGGAAAGGAGUAUCAAAGAGGGUGAUAAUCCCGUACUUAACACGACCACCGGUGCUCUGUGAUACGUCUUCUACGAGUCGAGUUGUUUGGGAAUGCAGCUCAAAAUGGGUGGUGAAUUCCAUCUAAAGCUAAAUAUUGGCGAGAGACCGAUAGCGAACAAGUACCGUGAGGGAAAGAUGAAAAGCACUUUGGAAAGAGAGUUAAACAGUACGUGAAAUUGUUGAAAGGGAAACGAUUGAAGUCAGUCGUGUUCUUUGGAUUCAGCCAGUUCUGCUGGUCUACUUCCUUGGAACGGGUCAACAUCAGUUUUGUCCGGUGGAUAAAGGUAGUAGGAAUGUGACUUCUCCGGAAGUGUUAUAGCCUAUUAUCACAUACACUGGGUGAGACUGAGGACUGCAGCUCGCCUUUAUGGCCGGCCUUCGGGCACGUCGAGCUUAGGAUGUGACAUCCCAGCGAGCACCGGAU